UUUGAAAAGAAAAGUUCAAUUUGUUAACAUCGGAAGAAAGUAAGAAAUUUUUUCGUGUCAAAUAAAUUUUUGUAUCCGUUGGAAGAAACUUGUGAAGAUUACAUUUGCAAUUUUGUUGUGGCUAAGUUGUCUAACCGCGAAUUACAAGUCAGAAGUUAUUUUUGUGGGAAGUAAAUAUAAUGAAUAUAUUAUUAAAUUGCUAAUUCAAAGGCAGGGGAGCCUAAAUCUCUCACCUCCAGAACACCAAAUUAUGAAUUUUUGAGGAAUUUGGCGCACCAUGGCGAAUGAUUGUUGCCGUAAAUUUCACUGUUGACCAUAUCGCAUACGCCACCAAGGCACACACCGGAAUUCGUUGACCGUUUCAAAUAGACAACCAUACCAAUGCGCAUAAUUUUAAAAAUUUUUUGGAAGUGAAAAGUCAGAAGUUCGUUAAGAUUAUCUGGACCAUCAAAUAAUUGAACUAGUAUACAUGCAAUAGACGUAAUAUUAGGUUAGAGUAGAUGAGACUUUGUUGCUCCUGUGCAAGAUGGAAGACAAGAAAUAGGAAAAUUGAAACGAAUUAGGAUUGGAUUGAUUUAAGAGGAUUUAUUUUCGUAGUCUUACCAGUACAACGGUUGUAAGUGAACAACAAGGAUAAUUCGUUAAAUUACUUAUACGACUAGUGAUAGUGCGAAAAAAAUAUGUAUAUUUGGAUAGAAAUUCAUAGGAAAUUAUUGUCAUUGGAAAUUAUUUGGAGCGAAGACCAUAGAUAGUCCAGCCAAAGAUGGUAUUCUGUGCCGUUGGGAGUCCCGACCGACAAAGAAUUCCUUUUGGCGUAUAUGUCGAGACCGAAUAUAAUGUCUAUUGGAGCUGGUUUGGAGAAUUCAACAUCAGCCAAAAUGAAGUUAUGGAAUUUCUGUCUUAUAGACUUGGAUAUGGAUUUACUUGGUGUGGAUAUGGUCACUCUAUUGGUCAUUUUGAGAACUGUUUUGAUGCUUACAUUUUCGUCGUGUACGGAUAUCAACGUUAUUGGAUAUAUGGUUUCUUCAUCUAGUGCUAGUGUCGUCAAAUUAAACUUAUCUACCGUUUUUGAAGAGAUACAGCUUGUUCUAACACCAGAA